CCUACGGGAGGCUGCAGUGGGGAAUAUUGCACAAUGGGCGCAAGCCUGAUGCAGCCAUGCCGCGUGUGUGAAGAAGGCCUUCGGGUUGUAAAGCACUUUCAGCGGGGAGGAAGGCGUUAAGGUUAAUAACCUUGGCGAUUGACGUUACCCGCAGAAGAAGCACCGGCUAACUCCGUGCCAGCAGCCGCGGUAAUACGGAGGGUGCAAGCGUUAAUCGGAAUUACUGGGCGUAAAGCGCACGCAGGCGGUCUGUCAAGUCGGAUGUGAAAUCCCCGGGCUCAACCUGGGAACUGCAUUCGAAACUGGCAGGCUAGAGUCUUGUAGAGGGGGGUAGAAUUCCAGGUGUAGCGGUGAAAUGCGUAGAGAUCUGGAGGAAUACCGGUGGCGAAGGCGGCCCCCUGGACAAAGACUGACGCUCAGGUGCGAAAGCGUGGGGAGCAAACAGGAUUAAUACCCCAGUAGUC
rnacentral:rRNA from 1 species